GAUGAACGCUAGCGGCAGGCCUAAUACAUGCAAGUCGGACGGGAUUGCAGUAUAGCUUGCUAUACUGCAUGAGAGUGGCGCACGGGUGCGUAACGCGUAAGCAACCUGCCCAUGUCAGGGGGAUAGCCCGUUGAAAGACGGAUUAAUACCGCAUAACACAUAGAGGCCACCUGGUUUUUAUGUCAAAUAUUUAUAGGACAUGGAUGGGCUCGCGUGGCAUUAGUUAGUUGGUAAGGUAACGGCUUACCAAGACGAUGAUGCCUAGGGGCUCUGAGAGGAGUGACCCCCACACUGGUACUGAGACAAGGCCCACG
rnacentral:rRNA from 1 species